UCCCGUAGUUAAAAUGUAUUUAAAAGAUAAAAGUCUUAUCCCGAGUAGCAUGGGGCACGUGGAAUCCCGUGUGAAUCAGCGAGGACCACCUCGUAAGGCUAAAUACUCCUGGGUGACCGAUAGUGAAAUAGUACCGUGAGGGAAAGGUGAAAAGAACCCCCGUAGGGGAGUGAAAUAGAACAUGAAACCGUAUGCUGACAAGCAGUGGGAGGAUUUAAAAUCUGACCGCGUGCCUGUUGAAGAAUGAGCCGGCGACUUAGAGGAAGUGGCAUUAGGUUAAGGAGUUAUAUCCGGAGCCAACGCGAAAGCGAGUCUGAAUAGGGCGUUAAGUCAUUUUCUCUGGACCCGAACCCGGGUGAUCUAACCAUGACCAGGAUGAAGCUUGGGUAACACUAAGUGGAGGUCCGGACCGACCGAUGUUGAAAAAUCGGCGGAUGAGUUGUGGUUAUGCGGAGAAAUUCCAAUCGAACUCGGAGCUAGCUGGAUCUCCCCGAAAUGCGUUGAGGCGCAGCGGCAACGAUGAGCUGUCAUGGGGUAAAGAUACUGUUUCGAUGCGGGCUGCGAAAGCGGUACCAAGUCGUGGCAAACUCAGAAUACAUGGUAUGUCUACCGUUAGCCAGUGAGACUAUGGGAGAGAAGUUCCGUAGUCAAGAGGGAAACAGCCCAGAUCACCAGCUAAGGCCCCUAAAUGGUCACUAAGUGGAAAAGGAUGUGAGAAUGCUGAAACAACCAGGAGGUUUGCUUAGAAGCAGCCACCCUUGAAAGAGUGCGUAAUAGCUCACUGGUAAAGCGUUUUUGCGCCGAUAAUGGCCGGGACUAAGUGACCUGCCGAAGCUGUGAGAUUUUUCUUCUCUUUUCUCUCUUUCCUUCUCCCGAAAGGGACAAGGAAUUUGAAAAAGCAGAGAGAAAUCGGUAGGGGAGCGUUCCGUUUUUGGGUGAAGUUUUCAUGGAAAUGUGAAUGGACAAAACGGAAGUGAGAAUGUCGGCUUGAGUAACGAAAACAUUGGUGUGAAUCCAAUGCCCCGAAAACCGUUGGGUUCCUCCACUAGGUUCGUCCAUGGGGGGUGAGUCAGGUCCUAAGAUUAGGCCGAAAGGCGUCGUCGAUGGCAAACAGGUUAAUAUUCCUGUACUGAUUCUAUUGGGAACCAAGUGACGGAGAAGGCUAAACUAGAACUGCUACUGGAUUUCAGUGGAAGCGUUAAGGUGUUGAGAGUUAGAAGAGAAACUAUACUUGAGCUAAGACGUGAUCCCUAUUCUUAUGCAAAUAAGGGUAGCUAGUGAUGUCACACUUCCUAGAAAAGCUUGAACACCAUUAACAAUAGAAUCACCUGUACCUGAAACCGACACAGGUAGGUUGGUAGAGAAUACUAAGGGGCGCGAGAGAACUCUCUCUAAGGAACUCGGCAAACUGGCCCCGUAACUUCGGAAGAAGGGGCACCCCGUAACAAGGGUCGCAGUGACCAGGCCCAGGCAACUGUUUAUCAAAAACACAGGUCUCCGCAAAGUCGAAAGACAAUAUAUGGGGGCUGACGCCUGCCCAGUGCUGGAAGGUUAAGGAAGUUGGUUAUUUUUUUUUCCUUACGGACAAUAAAGAAGAAGCUGACGACCGAAGCCCCAGUGAACGGCGGUCGUAACAAUAACGAUCCUAAGGUAGCGAAA
rnacentral:rRNA from 1 species